CAGGUAUCUAAUUUAUAUGAAGCACCCUGGAGUCAAUGUCUCUUUGUACUGUUAUUUGUCAAAUGAUUCAAGCACUGCUUUAAAGUAUAUGUGAGGUUACUAGUCAAUCUUAACGCUCUAAAUCUGCAUGCUAUGCUACGCACAUUUUUUUCCUCUAAGCACAUGAAAUUCUAAAUUAUAUUUGCCUUUGAUAUUUUUAUUUUUCUUUCUUUAAGGAAUAUCACGGGAAAGCAUGAAGCUGUUAUAAAGUUAAUAUCUGCUAUUCUGGACUCAAGAAGGUCAAUCUGUACCCUCCGUACGUGCCUCCUUUCCUAGCCUUCCCAAGAAGUCUUAAGAAAAAUGGACAUCAACCAGGCUGAAACCUUGGCAUCAUACCUGGCACCUGCUGGAUGCUUAAUAAGUACUUGUGGACUGAGUGACUCUCAUGCCUUACCUCUGCAGUGUAGACAAUAGUACCCAUGCUUGCUACAUCACGGAGGACUUGUUAAGCAUUAUUCAAUUAUGAAUCUUUAGCUAGUCUACAUGUCAUAGAUUCUAAUAUUGAUGUUUUCUACCCUUUAAUAUAAGUGAAUUUUAAUCCAUUUUAUAGUACAUCUUGAAAUUAUAUAUAUAAUUUCCUUAGUGGUACCUAAUGUAUCUUCCAAUCAAUAAUUUUCCUGAUUUAUUGAAAAACGGUAUUAAAUAAAUGUAAUUACAAAACC
ensembl:lncRNA novel transcript